UACGUAGGGGGCAAGCGUUAUCCGGAUUCAUUGGGCGUAAAGCGCUCGUAGGCGGUCUGUUAGGUCGGGAGUCAAAUCCGGGGGCUCAACCCCUGUCCGCUCCCGAUACCGGCAGACUUGAGUUUGGUAGGGGAAAGUGGAAUUCCCAGUGUAGCGGUGGAAUGCGCAGAUAUUGGGAAGAACACCAGUGGCGAAGGCGGCUUUCUGGGCUAUAACUGACGCUGAGGAGCGAAAGCUAGGGGAGCGAACA
rnacentral:rRNA from 1 species